rnacentral:rRNA from 1 species
GAGAAGUCCUUCUCUUCGGACACAGGUGACAGGGGGGCAGGUUUGUCGCCAGCGCGCGUCGGGAGAGGUUGGGUUAAGUCCCGCACCGAGAGCAACCCCUGUUUUUAGUUGCUACCAUUAGGAUGGGAACUCUAAAGAGACUGCCGGUGAGAAACCGGAGGAAGGGGGGGAGGAGGGCAAAUCAUCAUGCCCCUUAUAUGUUGGGGUACACACGUGCUACAAUGGUUGGUACAACGGGCAGCGAAAGAGCAAUCUGGAGCAAAUCCCAAAAAGCCAAUCUUAGUUCGGAUUGUAGGCUGCAACUCGCCUACAUGAAGACGGAGUUACUAGUAAUCGCGGAUCAGAAAGUCGCGGUGAAUACGUUCCCGCGUCUUGUACACACGCAAAAAA